rnacentral:rRNA from 1 species
GUUUGAUCCUGGCUCAGGACGAACCCUGGCGGCGUGCCUCAUACAUGCAAGUGGAGCGACGAACCCGGAUUUAUCCUGGGGCAAAGCCGCGAACGGGUGAGUAACACGUGGGUUACCUGCCCCGAUGAUUGGGACAACCCGAGGAAACUCGGGCUAAUACCAAAUGUGUUCUUGGUCGUGAUGACCAAGAAGAAAGGAAGCCUCGGCCUCCGCAUCGGGAUGGGCCCGCGGCCCAUUAGCUAGUUGGUGGGGUAAUGGCCUACCAAGGCGACGAUGGGUAGCUGGUCUGAGAGGACGAUCAGCCACACUGGGACUGAGACACGGCCCAGACUCCUACGGGAGGCAGCAGUAGGGAAUCUUGCGCAAUGCGCGAAAGCGUGACGCAGCAACGCCGCGUGGGGGAAGAAGGCUCUCGGGUUGUAAACCCCUUUCAGUUGGGACGAAGCUUCGUCGGUUAAUAGCCGGCUGGAGUGACGGAACCUUCACAAGAAGCACCGGCUAACUACGUGCCAGCAACCGCGGUAAUACGUAGGGUGCAAGCGUUGUCCGGAAUUAUUGGGCGU